UCCUAUAAAGUAAAUUUUACAUUUUAAUUUCGACUUAAAAAUUGAUUUUUAUACAAUCUGUAGGAU
rnacentral:tRNA from 1 species